rnacentral:rRNA from 1 species
AUUGAACGCUGGCGGCAGGCCUAACACAUGCAAGUCGAACGCGUGGCGGACAGGUGAGUAUUGUCUGGGAAAAUGCCUGCGGGAGGGGGAUAACACAUGGAGACGGUAGUUAUUACCGCAUACCAGCUGAUGUGCCCAGAGGGGAUUAGCUAGUGGUGGGGGUAAAGGCGCACACAGGCGACGAUCCCUAGCUGGUCUGAGAGGAUGACCAGCCACACUGGAACUGAGACACGGUCCAGACUCCUACGGGAGGCAGCAGUGGGGAAUAUUGCACAAUGGGCGAAAGCCUGAUGCAGCCAUGCCGCGUGUAUGAAGAAGGCCUUCGGGUUGUAAAGUACUUUCAGCGGGGAGGCGUUACCCGCAGAAGAAGCACCGGCUAACUCCGUGCCAGCAGCCGCGGUAAUAC